GUAAACGCGAAGAACGGGAGUAGUAAAGCUUAUCUUUUGUCCAGAGAGCUGCGGGGUGGUGCGACGCAGUCAAAAGAGGCUUGAAGCUCGCCCGGGAGCGGUGAAGCCGAACAUCAUCCAGCUUGAGUCUGGAUGGUCGUAGGCUUCGACGGACAAUCCCCACGUGAUCGGGGAGCGCAUCGUUAGAGUGUACGCUUGAGAUUGGCUUAGCAGCCAUUCAUGCCCAUUCCUUGCUAAUUACGAUGCGCAUAAGUGGAUUUCCUAUUUCGGGAAAUCAACAAGAGUGGUACCGCGGCAGCCAAAGGCCUGUCGUCUCUUAU
rnacentral:ncRNA from 1 species